rnacentral:rRNA from 1 species
GAAAGGCACCACGAGGAUUAAACUGUCUCCUCUUUCCAAUCAAUGAAACUAAUCUCCCCGUGAAGAAGCGGGGAUCCUCAUAUUAGACGAGAAGACCCUAUGGAGCUUAAAACAAACUACAUCCGCCACACUACUUUUUUCCCCCCCCGGACCUAACCUUGUGGCACUUUGUCUAUAAGUUUUAGGUUGGGGCGACCACGGAGAACAAAACAUCCUCCAUGCUGAAACAGACCACUCCUAAGCAAAAAGUCACAACUUUUUAAAUCAAUAAAUUGACAUCUAUUGACCCAGUAUUCUGAUCAACGAACCAAGUUACCCUAGGGAUAACAGCGCAAUCUACUUCAAGAGCCCCUAUCGACAAGUAG